rnacentral:rRNA from 1 species
AAACUCAAAUGAAUUGACGGGACCGCACAAGCGUGGAUGAUGUGGUUUAAUUCGAUGCAACGCGAAAAACCUUACCCACCUUUGACAUGUACGGAACCCUUUAGAGAUAGAGGGGUGCUCGAAAGAGAGCCGUAACACAGGUGCUGCAUGGCUGUCGUCAGCUCGUGUCGUGAGAUGUUGGGUUAAGUCCCGCAACGAGCGCAACCCUUGUCAUUAGUUGCUACAUUCAGUUGGGCACUCUAAUGAGACUGCCGGUGACAAGCCGGAGGAAGGUGGGGAUGACGUCAAGUCCUCAUGGCCCUUAUAGGUGGGGCUACACACGUCAUACAAUGGCUGGUACAAAGGGUUGCCAACCCGCGAGGGGGAGCCAAUCCCAUAAAGCCAGUCGUAGUCCGGAUCGUAGUCUGCAACUCGACUACGUGAAGUCGGAAUCGCUAGUAAUCGUGGAUCAGAAUGUCACGGUGAAUACGUUCCCGGGUCUU